AAUCAACGCUGGCGGCGCGCUUAACACAUGCAAGUCGAACGAGAAAGCCCAGCAAUGGGUGAGUACAGUGGCGUACGGGUGAGUAACACGUGGGUGAUCUACUCUUUGGUGGGGAACAACCCUGGGAAACCGGGGCUAAUACCGCAUAAGCCUCUAUUUUCAAAGUUGAGGGAAAGGUGCAAAUCGCCGAAGAAGGAGCCCGCGGCUGAUUAGCUAGUUGGUGGGGUAAAGGCUCACCAAGGCGAAGAUCGGUAGCCGGCCUGAGAGGGCACACGGCCACACUGGCACUGAAACACGGGCCAGACUCCUACGGGAGGCAGCAGUGGGGAAUCUUGCACAAUGGGGGCAACCCUGAUGCAGCGACGCCGCGUGAGCGAUG
rnacentral:rRNA from 1 species